rnacentral:misc_RNA from 1 species
UAAUAAGUGUUUUAUGGCACUUUUUAAAUCCAUAUCCACCUUGUGUGCAAUGUCGGUCGAUCUUCUUCAUGGAGAUCGACCAAACAUCAACCUUUAUCUUUUAACUCUUUGUCUGAAAAAUAUUAUGAAUAAACAAUUCAAAAUA